ACGUCAACACACUUCUGAUUGGAGAGAAGGAAGGCGGUGAGGGAGAACUACGGCAAGCGAGGCACGCCAAAAAAGCAGACAUGAACGGGGGUGUUCGUAGGUGAACUUGAGGUCAAAGAGGAACUGGAGGGCGAGGCCGAGCGAGUGAACAGUUUAGAGAGCUCUCAGUCCCAUUUGAGGAGUAUUUUGCUCAGGAGGAGUGGGAUACCCUCGAUCACAGCCACAGGGCUCUCUACAAGAAGGACAGGAUGGAGGAUCAUGGGAACGUGGUUUUUCUGGGUAACGAGAAGGAAGACCCUUUGGUGGAGUCCUCUACGGUGUCAAGGGAAACAGCUGAGACUGUGGUGGAGAAAGAGGAAAUGGUGAAUCAAAAGGGACGGAAAAAACAAAA